GUGGGUGUAGCUCAGUGGUAGAGCGCCUGCUUAGCAUGCAUGAGGUCCUGGGUUCAAUCUCCAGUACUUCCA
rnacentral:tRNA from 1 species